rnacentral:rRNA from 1 species
GACUACACGAAGCUGGAAUCGCUAGUAAUCGCGAAUCAGAAUGUCGCGGUGAAUACGUUCCCGGGUCUUGUACACACCGCCCGUCACACCAUGGGAGUCGGGAAUGCCCGAAGUCAGUGACCCAACCUUUGGAGGGAGCUGCCGAAGGCAGGUCUGAUAACUGGGGUGAAGUCGUAACAAGGUACC